rnacentral:rRNA from 1 species
AUUGAACGCUGGCGGCAGGCCUAACACAUGCAAGUCGAACGAGUGGCGGACGGGUGAGUAAUGUCUGGGAAACUGCCCGAUGGAGGGGGAUAACUACUGGCAACGGUAGCUAAUACCGCAUACCAUCGGAUGUGCCCAUAUGGGAUUAGCUAGUAGGUGGGGUAACGGCUCACCUAGGCUACGAUCCCUAGCUGGUCUGAGAGGAUGACCAGCAAGUCUGGAACUGAGACACGGUCCAGAGUCCUACGGGAGGCAGCAGUGGGGAAUAUUGGGCAGUGGGGGAAAGCCUGAUCGAGCAAUGCCGCGUGUGUGAAGAAGGCUUUCGGGUCGUAAAGCACGUUUGUUAGAGAGGCGGUAUCUAACGAAGAAGCAACGGCUAACUACGUGCCAGCAGCCGCGGUAAUAC